ensembl:lncRNA
GUUUCUGAGCAGAGCGGAGAGAGGAGGGGCACCAUCCAUCUCCUCCACAGAGAUACACACAGACGCUGAAACAGAGAGGUGUGUGAUGUCAUAGAAGAGGCCAAACGAAGCGUCAGACUGCAUGAGAAUCAGCACAAGAUUUUGGUGCAGACGUUGAAUUUCCUCCUCUGUUAUGUUCUAGAACACUCGUUGCCAUUCAGGUCCUGUUUUGAGCGGCUGGGAGGUUUGCAGCAGCAGAUGGGCUGUCCCGCUGUGUGCCUGAUUGAAACACAGAAGCUGGAGCCGACUCAUAACAACAUCACCAGCUCCUGUCAGCUCCAGCCAGGGAACAAAUCAGCCUUCCUGCGGCUCUGCUGCAGGGAACAUGACUCUGCUCAGAGGAAAAA